rnacentral:rRNA from 1 species
UACAGAGGGUGCGAGCGUUAAUCGGAAUUACUGGGCGUAAAGGGCGCGUAGGCGGCCCGCUAAGUCGAACGUGAAAUCCCCGAGCUCAACUCGGGAACUGCGUCCGAUACUGGUGGGCUUGAAUCCGGGAGAGGGAUGCGAAAUUCCAGGUGUAGCGGUGAAAUGCGUAGAUAUCUGGAGGAACACCGGUGGCGAAGGCGGCAUCCUGGACCGGCAUUGACGCUGAGGCGCGAAAGCUAGGGGAGCAAACGGG